CCUACGGGGGGCUGCAGUGGGGAAUAUUGCUCAAUGGGCGAAAGCCUGACGCAGCGACGCAGCGUGCGGGAUGAAGGUCUUCCGAUCGUAAACCUCUUUCAGCAGGGGAGAACCAUCACUGUGCUAAUCAGCAGUGCAUUGACGGUACCUGCAAAGGAAGCACCGGCUAAAUCCGUGCCAGCAGCCGCGGUAAGACGGAGGGUGCGUGCGUUAAUCGGAAUUACUUGGCGUAAAGCGCUCGUAGGCGGUAUGUCAAGUCAAGGGUGAAAUCCCCGCGCUCAACGUGGGAACUGCCUUUGAAACUGGCAAACUGGAGUGUGUGAGAGGAUAGUGGAAUUCCAGGUGUAGGAGUGAAAUCCAUAGAUAUCUGGAGGAACAUCAGUGGCGAAGGCGACUAUCUGGCACAUAACUGACGCUGAGGAGCGAAAGCGUGGGUAGCAAACAGGAUUAGAUACCCGAGUAGUC
rnacentral:rRNA from 1 species